rnacentral:rRNA from 1 species
GAUGAACGCUGGCGGCGUGCYUAACACAUGCAAGUCGAACGAAGCACUUGUAUUUGAUUCUUCGGAUGAAGAUACUUGUGACUGAGUGGCGGACGGGUGAGUAACGCGUGGGUAACCUGCCUCAUACAGGGGGAUAACAGUUAGAAAUGGCUGCUAAUACCGCAUAAGCACACAGUGUUGCAUGACACAGUGUGAAAAACUCCGGUGGUAUGAGAUGGACCCGCGUCUGAUUAGCUGGUUGGUGGGGUAACGGCCUACCAAGGCGACGAUCAGUAGCCGACCUGAGAGGGUGACCGGCCACAUUGGGACUGAGACACGGCCCAAACUCCUACGGGAGGCAGCAGUGGGGAAUAUUGCACAAUGGGGGAAACCCUGAUGCAGCGACGCCGCGUGAGCGAAGAAGUAUUUCGGUAUGUAAAGCUCUAUCAGCAGGGAAGAAGAUGACGGUACCKAUWA